rnacentral:rRNA from 1 species
GAUGAACGCUAGCGGCAGGCCUAACACAUGCAAGUCGAGGGGCAGCACGUCUUCGGAUGGUGGCGACCGGCGCACGGGUGCGUAACGCGUAUGCAACCUACCUCUUACAGUGGGAUAGCCCAGAGAAAUUUGGAUUAAUACCGCAUAGUAUACAGAUUCAGCAUUGGGACUGUAUUAAACAUUUAUGGGUAAGAGAUGGGCAUGCGUUCUAUUAGUUAGUUGGAGUGGUAACGGCACCCCAGACAGCGAUAGAUAGGGCCCGUGAGAGGGGAGUCCCCACCACUGGUACUGAGACACGGACCAGACUCCUACGGGAGGCAGCAGUGAGGAAUAUUGGACAAUGGGCGAGAGCCUGAUCCAGCCAUGCCGCGUGCAGGAAGACGGCCCUAU